rnacentral:rRNA from 1 species
GGUUAAGCGACUAAGCGUACACGGUGGAUGCCCUGGCAGUCAGAGGCGAUGAAGGGCGUGCUAAUCUGCGAUAAGCGCCGGUAAGGUGAUAUGAACCGUUAUAACCGGCGAUACCCGAAUGGGGAAACCCAGUGUGAUUCGUCACACUAUCAUUAACUGAAUCCAUAGGUUAAUGAGGCGAACCGGGGGAACUGAAACAUCUAAGUACCCCGAGGAAAAGAA